AUGUUUAAGGCCAUGCAGCAAGUGAGGGCCUGAGCCGAAUCCUGAACUGAGCCUCUGCUACCAUUAGCCAUGGGACUGACAGUGAAGGGCCCGAACUGCAACUGUAGGGAGGUGUGAUCUUGUGGACCACAGCCCUGUCUGCAAUGAAAUCGUGAUUUCUAAGAGAGCCCAAGCUGAGGAUGGAGAGCAGAAAAUUCCAAGAGGUGAAGAAACUGAGGCUCGAAGAGACCAAGGCUGCAGAGCUUCAAGAGGACAGAGCCGAAGUUCGAACCAAAAACUCUGGAAGGGAAGAAAUAUCCACUGCUGUGGCUCCCGGAUGUCACCCGACUCAUUCAAGGUCAUCCUACUGUGGUGGAGACAGAUUUACGCCCUUGUCUUAGUGUGGCAGAAGAGACCCUAAGCCAGCAAAGACCACGCAACCUCCAUAUUGUUCCCUGGCACCCUUGCUGUUGGAGCCCUGAGCCACCAUGUAAGAGGCAGGAAGAAUCGCUCUCCUGAGGCUGCCAUGUUGUGAGGAAGCCCAAGCCACAUGGAGAGGUCAACAGUUCCAGCUGAGCUCAGCCAUCCAGCCUCUCCAACUGUUUGAGUUUUCCUAACUGAGGCCCCAGACGUCAUGGAGCAGAGACAAAUCAUCCCUGCCGUUCUCUGUCUGAACUCCUGACCCACAGAAUCCAGGAGCAUAAUAAAAUUGUUU